UGCAAGGUGUUAGCUGAUUCCUGGUUAUCA
rnacentral:piRNA from 1 species